GGUGAGGGUAUGGAUGAAAUGGAAUUUACGGAGGCUGAGAGUAACAUGAAUGAUCUGGUGGCUGAGUACCAGCAGUAUCAAGAUGCAACGGCUGAUGAGGAGGAGGAGUAUGAGGAGGAAGAAGAGGAGAUUCAUAGUUGAGGUGGGUUGAAUGUAUAUAUGUUUUUUUUUUUUUCAGUUAGUCUGAAGUUAUGAGUGAUUGUGCUUCUUUUGUUAAAUGGUCAAAAUCAAAUUGACUUGAUGUGUAUGAUUAUGGGUCCUUGUAGCCGCAAUGGAUUUUUCCUUUUUUAGUCUGCUUUUGUUUUAAAUUUUAAUGAAGUUUGUUUUUGUAACUAGUAGACGGUGUUAUGAAUUGACUGGUGAGACAGGCUAUUGACAUAUUGUGGCGUUAACAAUUCUCUUGAUAGUAGCUGCC
rnacentral:misc_RNA from 1 species